UACAGGGGGGGCAAGCGUUGUUCGGAAUUACUGGGCGUAAAGGGCGCGUAGGCGGCCUUCUAAGUCGAACGUGAAAUCCCUGGGCUCAACCCAGGAACUGCGUCCGAUACUGGAAGGCUUGAAUCCGGGAGAGGGAUGCGGAAUUCCAGGUGUAGCGGUGAAAUGCGUAGAUAUCUGGAAGAACACCAAUGGCGAAAGCAGCUCUCUGGGACGGUACUGACGCUGAGACGCGAAAGCGUGGGGAGCGAACAGG
rnacentral:rRNA from 1 species